CCUACGGGUGGCAGCAGUGAGGAAUAUUGGUCAAUGGGCGCUAGCCUGAACCAGCCAAGUAGCGUGAAGGAUGACUGCCCUAUGGGUUGUAAACUUCUUUUAUAUGGGAAUAAAGUGCAGUAUGUAUACUGCUUUCCAUGUACCUUAUGAAUAAGGAUCGGCUAACUCCGUGCCAGCCGCCGCGGUAAUACGGAGGAACCGAGCGUUCUCCGGAUUUAUUGGGUUUAAAGGGUGCGUAGGCGGGUAGUUAAGUUAGUUGUGAAAGUUUGGGGCUUAACCGUAGAAUUGCAGUUGAUACUGGCAUCCUUGAGUGCAGGAGAGGUAGGCGGAAUGCGUGGUGUAGCGGUGAAAUGCUUAGAUAUCACGAAGAACUCCGAUUGCGAAGGCAGCCUGCUGGACUGUAACUGACGCUGAUGCUCGAAAGUGUGGGUAUCAAACAGGAUUAGAUACCCGGGUAGUC
rnacentral:rRNA from 1 species